UACGGAGGGUCCAAGCGUUAUCCGGAAUUAUUGGGUUUAAAGGGUCCGCAGGCGGAUUAAUAAGUCAGUGGUGAAAUCUCCAGGCUCAACCUGGAAACUGCCAUUGAUACUGUUAGUCUUGAAUAUGGUCGAAGUAGGCGGAAUGUGUAGUGUAGCGGUGAAAUGCUUAGAUAUUACACAGAACACCGAUAGCGAAGGCAGCUUACUAGGCCAUUAUUGACGCUCAUGGACGAAAGCGUGGGUAGCGAACAGG
rnacentral:rRNA from 1 species